rnacentral:rRNA from 1 species
GUGCCAGCAGCCGCGGUAAUACGUAGGUGGCAAGCGUUAUCCGGAAUUAUUGGGCGUAAUGCGCGCGUAGGCGGUUUUUUAAGUCUGAUGUGAAAGCCCACGGCUCAACCGUGGAGGGUCAUUGGAAACUGGAAAACUUGAGUGCGGAAGAGGAAAGUGGAAUUCCAUGUGUAGCGGUGAAAUGCGCAGAGAUAUGGAGGACACCAGUGGCGCAAGGCGACUUUCUGUCUUACUGACGCUGAUGUGCGAAAGCUGGGGAUCAACAGGAUUAGA